GCUCAAGUGCAUCCAGAUCAGAAGAAAUCCAAAAGAUGUAUGCGUGUCCAUGUAUAAUAACUUCAGAAACCUCGCUGGCCCGAUGUGCUUUGAAGGAAAUUUUGCGGGAGUUCACGGAAGCAUUUCUGUCGGGUGAACUACCAUAUGGAUCCUACCACGGCUAUCUCAAUAGCUGGACUAGUGAAGUGUCCCCCUUGAACAACCGGUGUUCUAUCUGUACUAUGAGGAUAUGAAAGUCAAUCCCCUAAAGUGGGUUAAAGACAUGGCAAGGUUUCUAGAUCUAGACGUCACAGACAAAUUCUGUGAGGACUUGAUCGAGGCGUGUUCCUUCAAGAACCUGAAGGAGAAGGAGGCCAGACAUAAGCAGGAGGGUAUUGAUCCAGGUAUUUGGAAGAAAGGAGC